UCCCUGGUGGCUCAGACGGUAAAGCAUCUGCCUACAAUGCAGGAGACCUGGGUUCGAUUCCUGGGUGGGGAA
rnacentral:tRNA from 1 species